CCUACGGGUGGCAGCAGUGGGGGAUAUUGCACAAUGGGGGAAACCCUGAUGCAGCGACGCCGCGUGGGCGAAGAAGUAUUUCGGUAUGUAAAGCCCUAUCAGCAGGGAAGAAGAAAUGACGGUACCUGAGUAAGAAGCACCGGCUAAAUACGUGCCAGCAGCCGCGGUAAUACGUAUGGUGCAAGCGUUAUCCGGAUUUACUGGGUGUAAAGGGAGCGCAGGCGGGAAGCCAAGUCAGCUGUGAAAACUACGGGCUUAACUUGUAGACUGCAGUUGAAACUGGUUUUCUUGAGUGAAGUAGAGGUUGGCGGAAUUCCGAGUGUAGCGGUGAAAUGCGUAGAUAUUCGGAGGAACACCGGUGGCGAAGGCGGCCAACUGGGCUUUAACUGACGCUGAGGCUCGAAAGUGUGGGGAGCAAACAGGAUUAGAUACCCGGGUAGUC
rnacentral:rRNA from 1 species